UGUCCCUAGCGUACUCAUUUGAAGCUUCGAGGUCGAACCACUUUUAUGGUUCACCUGGCUGCGAGGCUUUGACGUUUCAUGAGGCAUCAUCUCGUCACCACUAUUCUGUUGUUUAAGAAAGAAAAAAGGAUUCUUUCUGUGGCGUGUCGAUAACUCGGACCUCCAGGUUUCCUUUCGUUAUGCUUCCAUCACGCUGAUUUCAGAUUCGCCUGUCAUCGUGUAUGAUACCGGUGGUCUACAGUGUUUAUUAAAGUCUAGACAUCUCCGAAUGCUUUGCAACCGUUCUCCUGGGGAACACGCGUGGGCAUCGUUCAGCCCACCUGAACGUGUACAACUCAUACUUACCUGGCAAGGGAGAUACCAUGAUCAAGAAGGUGGUUCAGCCAUAGCGAGGCUCAGCCAUUGCACUGAGGCUGUUGCUGACCCGUGCGAAUUCCCCAAAUGUGGGAAUCUCGAUUGCAAAAUUUCUGGUAGUGGGGGACUGCGUUCGCGCUCUCCCCUGGUCGUGUUGUUCUAAAGAAAUAAUAGCUAUGAAAGAUACCACCCUGAGCACGCCCGAUCUCGUCUGAUCUCGGAGGCUAAGCAGGGUCCGGCCUGGUUAGUACUUGGAUGGGUGACCGCCUGGGAAUGGCUCAUGACCCCCCAAAGUCCCUAUCCCUCAACCCUGGGAUCGAUCCAAAAGGAUCGAGGAUCAAAACGGACGGCUCCAUCUGGUGGCCACUGGUGGGUGGUUUUAUUUUCAGAAAUGUCAUGUGCAAGGCCUAGAUGAUCAAAAUCCACUAGUCUGCUGGAUGUUUUGUUUAUUAUUUUCAUACUUUGAGUGGAUGUAGCUGAUGAGAUUCAUACAAUCAAGUGGAAAAGUGUUAAAUUGUUACAUUUUUGGGCUGAAUUAAGAAAAAUAAUAAGAGCCAUUCACAGAACUCAUUGUUUUGACCACACAGGGAGUGCAGCCAUCACAGUGGGGGUGUAUUCACACCUCUGGUUGCGGGAGUGAAGACACAAGGACUUCUAAUUGCUUUGAUGGCACAGGAACAGUGGCAUCACAGAGGUAAGUUAUUCACACACACACACACGCAUUUCCAGGUAUUUACACAGUCCUCCUUUCCAACUCCGCAUCCACGACACUCUUAAAGUGUUCAAAGUUGUCAUACACCACAUUGUAAAAGCCAGGGGUAGUGGACAUCCUAGUGGGUGGACAGUAGGAAAACAUUUUCUGCAUGCUUCCAGCCACUUUGUCCUUGGAAGGGGUGUACCUCUUCCGCUGUCCACCACAGUCUGGCACGUGGCAAGCCCCACAUGGCCUUGAGGACUUGUUAGGCAUGAAUGUCUUCACUGUUGGUGCAGGAGGGACAAAGCUCUGGCUGCAGGAUGGCCCACGAAACAGGACGGAGGGGGCCUGUGGCUGUGCGGGGAGGACCAGCAGUAUGGGUGCUGCCGACACAGGGGGCGGGCCGUAGGUCAACGCAGCAGGUGGCCUCGGCUGGAGGUGGGUGGACGCAGGAAGCCUCGGCAGAAUGGGGGUGGGCGCAGCAGGCUUCAGCCGGGUGGAGGACGACAAACCCAGUGGGCUGAACGGGCCGGUUCGCGGGAGUCCCAGGCUCAUCAACAAAUAAUCUGGAAACAUAAAAUACACAUGUGAUCAGUAUUGAUAUGACUUGUGUGCUAUUUGCUUUCCACAGCCAACAGGUGAAACAAAGUGCUUAUGACAACUUACCUCCGCUUCUCACCACGUCUCUUUCCAGCCUCGUGAUGGAUGUGCCGGUACUGGACCUGAGGCCGGUCUGGCGGAGCAGUCGCUCCUUCUGCCACUUCAGCAGCUCGUUCUGCUCUCCCUGCUGGCAGUACUGGAACAGCAGCCACACCAGCCAGCCGACAUCAUUCUCCACAAGCCACCUGAAGGUCUGACCGGCGUACUUCCCGAACGUGAUGACCAGCUGACCUUUCCAAAGGUCUCUGCCGUCUUGAGAUCCAGCCAUUUAGGGUCAACAACAGUGCUGCUGCGGUCCUCUGCCACAGACCUUGCUGCCUCUGUACAGUACAGCCUGGCCUCUCCUUGCCGGUACAAAAUGAUGUUGGGGUACUGGUGUAGCUGUUGAUGGCUGACCAGCGAUGGUUUAGUGGCCAAGCUCUUCCCGCAGACGUCACAGAUAAAGGUCUCCCUGGCGAUGGCAUGGAUCUUCAGAUGCCUCGCCACGUUGGACUUUUCACCGAAUGUCUUGUCGCACACGGUGCACUGAUGUGUAGGCAUGUUCCAUCUGGCACAGUAAAACAUGAAUAAAUGAGUAAAACUAAAAACAGAUCAUUUAGAUUGACAAUAUGUAGCCCUUUAUUAUACAGAAAUCUGCUGUUGGUGUAUUAGCCUAGGACAACAAGCUCGCCAGAUUGUCGAGAGAUUAACACGGUCGCCAAAUUGCUUCAUGUUACAAUUACUCUCGCAUCAGCUGUUGUCUAAACAGUCACAUUUGCCCAUAUUAACACAUAUCCACAUCAAAUUGACCAAGAAAACGUUGAUUGUCGCCGAAAAGCAACAAGUUUGCAGGUAGGCUAUGCGACGUAGCCCUUACUAUUGUAAACAGUGUCGUUAGCCGCGCCUAGCUAUCGUCACAAAACACACAUUAAUCAGCUUAUUAUUUCAACGACCCUUGGGUGAAUAUAGUAAUGCCAUACACCGUUGGAAAGCUUAGAUUGCCACGAUUAAAACGAGACUUCCCACGGGUAAUAUGGUUGCUCACCGACAAAACGGCGAUAGGUUGACUAAAGUCUACCCAGCAGCUAAAAACGUACCCACUACUUCUUCCCUUUAUACACAACGACCGCGUUAUGACACGGUCGAAAUCUUUUCUCUUUCUACAAAAUCGAAACAGCUUAAUACAAACCGUAAAAAAUAAAUGUCUAAUUAUUAACUAGCAAACGAUGCAGGGGAUACAAUUUACCUGAGUGAAUCCUCCGUUGACUGCUUCACCGGGGAAUACCACGUGCUGUAAGCUAUUUUCUUUUUCAACUCGAGCUCAUUGGCUGCAAUAGAGUUCCGGGUGUUAUAGAUAUAUAUUUAUUUGUCAUUGGACAGAAGUACAACGAAAUUCAGUGCACUCACGUACUGGUCUCAUUUAAAAAGGUAACAUAAUAAAUAAAUAAAGAAAGAAAAUACAUUCAACAUUUCGUUCACUCACUGCUUCACCUGUAGUCUCAUAGAAGCCUCCACUGCUCCAAACUCUAUUUGUGAAACAUGCAGACGGCCUAGUGAGACUGCCAGCAGGCAGCAGCAAAGAGAUGUAGCGACCUCGGUUUAUUUCUCCAGCUUUCACAGACACACAAACACGCACACAGAUUGCUUGGUCUUUUUUUUGUUUCGUCGUUGUCUUAAACCGCCAAGUGGAGCGACGUGUCUGGGAAGCUCGCCUAUUGGUCUGAGCUUGUGUGUGCAUCGCUUCUCGGCCUUUUGGCUAAGAUCAAGUGUAGUAUCUGUUCUUAUCAGUUUAAUAUCUGAUACGUCCCCUACCCGGGGACCAUAUAUUAAAUUGAUUUUUGGAACUGGGAGAUGGAAAAGGGGCUUGCUCCGUCCACUCCA